UGCAAGUCGAGCGAAGUUUUUCUGGUGCUUGCACUAGAAAAACUUAGCGGCGAACGGGUGAGUAACACGUAAAGAACCUGCCUCAUAGACUGGGACAACUAUUGGAAACGAUAGCUAAUACCGGAUAACAGCAUUAACUCGCAUGGUUGAUGUUUAAAAGUUGGUUUUGCUAACACUAUGAGAUGGCUUUGCGGUGCAUUAGCUAGUUGGUGGGGUAAAGGCCUACCAAGGCGACGAUGCAUAGCCGACCUGAGAGGGUGAUCGGCCACACUGGGACUGAGACACGGCCCAGACUCCUACGGGAGGCAGCAGUAGGGAAUCUUCCGCAAUGGGCGAAAGCCUGACGGAGCAACGCCGCGUGAGUGAAGAAGGAUUUCGGUUCGUAAAGCUCUGUUGUUAGGGAAGAAUGAUUGUGUAGUAACUAUACACAGUAGAGACGGUACCUAACCAGAAAGCCACGGCUAACUACGUGCCAGCAGCCGCGGUAAUACGUAGGUGGCAAGCGUUGUCCGGAAUUAUUGGGCGUAAAGCGCGCGCAGGUGGUUUAAUAAGUCUGAUGUGAAAGCCCACGGCUCAAUCCGUGGAGGGUCAUUGGAAACUGUUAAACUUGAGUG
rnacentral:rRNA from 1 species